GAUUAGUUUGGCCAAUCAUUUCUGCUGCAGGACAGUUCUAUGCACCUGAUGGAUCUGAUGAGCGUGUGAUGGGUUUAAGCACAGACCAGGAAAACAGUCUACUUGUCACCGGAGACACAGCCGGAUUCAUUAAGGUCUGGGACAUCUCACAGUAUGCCUUAUCCGCUGCAGAUACGCAGUCUGCAGAAGAUCUGCCCUCGCUGUUGCACUCUUGGAGGGGCCACGAGAGGGCGAUAGUGAGCAGCGAGCUGCUGGCGUACGAGUCUCAACUCUUUGUUCUGAGCAUCUCGGUGGACCGCAGGGCCUGUCUCUGGACCCCUCAGGGAAGUUGUGUGGGCUGUUUUGGACAGGAACAGCAGUGGGAUUUGAGCAACCCGGACACUUAUCAAACCAACAGAGAACCUACCAGUCCAAUCAAAGAGGAGGAGGAGGAGGAGAGGACAGAGGACAGCCAAUCACGUGUCGGCGCUGAGAGCUUCAUCUGCUGGGGUGAAAGUUCAGAGGUCACUGGGACAAGCCUUAGUGCGGGUGAUAGUCAACAACCAGAAUUAGCUCUAGACCUGCAAAGAGGCCGUAUGUCUCUACAGACCCCAGACUCUGAGCGCUGCAGCUCUUUGGAAAGGUUCCCGCUGCCUAAAUACAGUAAGGUUCUGUCUGGAGAUCAUGCGUUUAGGGAUCUGGAGAUUAAGAUGACUGCGCAGCAACGCAGGCCACGGGAGACUGGCCGAGAAAAGCUCUGUCGCUUCGGGAACGAGUUCAUGCCGCUUCAGGCUCUGGAGCUGCCGGAGAUCAGUGAGCUGAAAGAUGUACCUUUGAAGCCUUGGAGAUUGAAGAUACGUCAGAUUUCCUCCAGAGGAGCAGAGGCGAGCUCUCGCAUGCUCUCCUCUGAAGCUCCUCUGCACUGUGAAACACUGGAGGACUAGACAGCCGUAUGAUGGAGGACACAGGGUUUAUUUUUUUUACCGCAGGUCAGUGACUGUACACUGAUUUACACUGUUUUGCACCGAAAUUCUCUGCCUUAACAGUUUAAUAGACAUCGCUUUUGUGCCAUCAUUGUUCAGUCACAUCAGUAUUUGUAUGCAAUAUGUAUUAUUUAUUACAAUAUAGAGGAAAA
rnacentral:lncRNA from 1 species